GGAUCAGUACGCUGGUCGUGCCUUCGGUAUGUACUGGUGUUACUGGUUCCUACCUUCUGACGAACCGUCAUGUCAUUAAUUUGGUGUGGCGGGGAAUCAGGACUGUUACUUUGAAAAAAUUAGAGUGUUUAAAGCAAGUGAAUAACAGCCUGAAUACAUUAGCAUGGAAUAAUAGAAUAG
rnacentral:rRNA from 1 species